GAUGAACGCUGGCGGCGUGCCUAAUACAUGCAAGUCGAGCCAACAGACGAGGAGCUUGCUCCUCUGACGUUAGCGGCGGACGGGUGAGUAACACGUGGAUAACCUACCUAUAAGACUGGGAUAACUUCGGGAAACCGGAGCUAAUACCGGAUAAUAUAUUGAACCGCAUGGUUCAAUAGUGAAAGACGGUUUUGCUGUCACUUAUAGAUGGAUCCGCGCCGCAUUAGCUAGUUGGUAAGGUAACGGCUUACCAAGGCAACGAUGCGUAGCCGACCUGAGAGGGUGAUCGGCCACACUGGAACUGAGACACGGUCCAGACUCCUACGGGAGGCAGCAGUAGGGAAUCUUCCGCAAUGGGCGAAAGCCUGACGGAGCAACGCCGCGUGAGUGAUGAAGGUCUUCGGAUCGUAAAACUCUGUUAUUAGGGAAGAGCAAAUGUGUAAGUAACUAUGCACGUCUUGACGGUACCUAAUCAGAAAGCCACGGCUAACUACGUG
rnacentral:rRNA from 1 species